GCCGUUUCUCCCGCUAGCGCUAGACUUUCACGUUUGUUUUGGUUUUACGUACCCAGAAUGCCCUGCGCUGUAGUCCACUUCCGCUUAGCAUACGCAUAUACAUUCGAAUCAUACCAGAUUUCACUUUAAUCUAACAAGAUCUAGGUUUGUUGGCGGAGCAGAGUUUGCGUCUUUGGUCACAUCUCCCCAAGCAAACCGGACUUUCUAUAUAGAUUAAAUCGGAUUGAACGUGGCUGGUGUGAAUGCAACCUAAGUUUAAUUUGAUAAAGUCCGGUAUCAUGGAUCUGGAGCUUAUUUAUGAUGCUAGGAUACUCAGACUACUCCUCUAUCCCAACAACAACAGCUACGUUUCUCUAUGAAGUUUGUGGGCUUCUAUAUCAUAUGUAUGUAAGUUAGUUUUGUCCUAUUUCAGUAUUUGCAUGAGAAGCUAAACCUGAAAUACUUGGCAAAUUUCAGUGUGUUUGGUAUUGUUAUCAAUCUACCUUAAACUUGAUUACAGAACUGCGGCUGAAUGCCUUGUGAUGUGACUACUACAUGAAAAACCAAGAAAACUAAGAAGCAGGGAGAAUAUUUUCCCCUUCAGGAUUCAGUUUCACGAGUGGACAGAUGCUGUGAAAAUCUGGUCCGUCACAGAUGCAACGGAUUUUACAACCAGCACAUGGUACAGUAAACAGCUUGCAGAGCUGAUCGAUUGAGCUGGGAGUCGGUGACAUCGAACCUGGCCACUGUCUUCCACUCUUCCCAGCUUCACAGAGACAGAGAUUUCACUGCAGUCACAGGACUGCCAGGAAAAUGGGAUUAUCUGCCAUAAAUGCCAGCAAAUGGGAGAUGAGUAUUUGUAGUCACAGAUUUUCAAUGGGAAAAUCUUUAGGAAUGAAAUCUCUUGCAGUUUUUGUUUGUUUUGUUUUGUUUUUUUUUGCUUGAAAGUACCCUUGAGCCUAGCAUUUAAUUAUUGACUACUGAGCAGCAUCAGGGCUCAGCUGCAUUGAGCAACUUCUUAAUGCGAAAGGAGGUUUUUCUUUUAUUUACACCUGCUGUGGACUGAAAAAUGUGAUUUAAAGAGACAACCGAGACUUAAAAUGCUAAAUCAAAACACGGCUUUUUAGAGAACACUGGAGAGCAACAAAAACUCAAAAAGAUGUCAAAUAAAAACAGAGUUUUUGGGCGUUACAGGAAUCAAACUCUUUCAUUUUGGUUGUUUCCAGUAGGAUUUAUCUCUGGCGUGGUUGUACGUCUUUAUCAGCAGCCUAAUUUUUAGUUUCCAAAACAGAUUUUACACACAGUCAGGCUGAAUGUACAUCUGAAGGAGACGUGAUGGAGGGAGUGACCAUCCUGUUGUGGUGCAGAACUGCAAAACUGUAGACUCAGGUCUUUAUUUACCUUUUCCAACUUUUUACUUCUGGUCAUAAAAUCUGGAUAACAUCAGAAAGAGCAAAACUCUGGACCAGGCAAAUGGUCCUCCAUGUCCAAAUUACUUGGAUUUGUAAAGGUCUAGGGUUACCUAACAUCUUUGCAGACCCCACACAUACUGGACACAAAAUGUGUAGACUUUUACCUUCCUUUAAACACGUUGGGAUCCUGGAUAAGGAUAACAAGAGCAUGGAAAUGGGUGGAUAGACUUCAGAAAAGCCAAGAAUAAAACCAAACAUCCAUCAGAAUUAGCCGUACAUUCAAACAUUCAGCCUUUCAACUUCCUUCAGGAAGCUGUGUUCGGUGAGUAGAGUCGUCCGUGUUUCCACCAAUGUUUGCUUUUGAGUGAAGAAACUAAUAAUGAAUCUGCUUCAGGUAGAAAACAGAGAAAUCCCUCGAGGUCCUCCUGAACAGGAACCUUUCUCCAGAUGUCUACCUCGACACGCCUGAUGGAUUAGUGUGUUUGUAUCUUCAUUAGGCUGCGGGGUUAAAAUCUAACCAGUCAAAUUGCUCAUUUAAUUAUGAGACUUAUUGGAGGAUUGAUUAUAAUUAGAGCUGCCUGAUGGGAAGUUAAUACCCGUCAAUUAGGCACGAGAUAACGGCGUAACGAAGAAGAAACGCCGCUCGAGGUUUUCCCCUCGCUGCAGUGGCGGAUGACAAAGAUUCCAGGCUGGCCUCAAUCUGUCUUCAAGAAGACGUAGAUUUGAAUAUUAAAUACCUUUUUUCAUACAAAAGGAGAACAGUUUCUCUCCUGGGAGACUCGCCUUAACAUUGUGUACUCUUUUGAAGCAUCUGCUCCUUUUUAUACUCAGGCUUACGUUUACAUGAAGAGCUGCCAGGAACAGUGAAAACUCAUGGUUUCCUGUCUGCUGUUUAAUAGUCGAGGAACAUCUUACAACUCAAGGCUUUUAAAAUUUUAAGAUUUGCCACAAACCUCGUAUUUAUUUCAUUCUGCUUUAUUUAACUUUUCAUUUAACAGGAAUGAUCCCACUGAGAAUGAAAACAAUUUGUUCUGAAGGACUCAAUGUAGCAUCACAGUUCUACAUUAAAAACACAAUAACCCCAAAGUUUUUGAACAUCAAUUCUUUCAGCUCCAAUAAUCAAUAGCCCUACUUUUAACGUGUUUUCACACCAAUCUGGGACCAAAAUUGUAGUGUGUUACAGUUUCACCGACUGUGGUUUGCUUCCACACAAAAGCGAUCCAAAUACUUUGAAACCUGUUCCCCUCCUUGCCUGUGGGGGCGCUGCACCAAGAAUAACUGAAGUAAACAACACAAAAACCUCAGAAGAAGACACUGAACGCAACUUCCGCCUUCACAAAAUGUAAACAUAAAAGGAGCGGCGUCAGAUUUUAGCGGUUGUGCAAAUUGUUUCUGUCUUGUCCUUGGUAACUGCUAGACCUGUGCGUUUGUUUUGGUUGAAUUUACCCAGAAUGCCUUGCGCCGUAGUCCACUUCCUGCUUUUGGACCGUUUGAGCCGCACCGGAGUUUACUUCAACCGAACCCAAGCCUCGUCUUGUAGAAUUGGGUGUUUUGGUUCACAUCGGAGUAUUAUUAUUAAAGGCAGAGGGGUGUACAAACUUUUUUCACACAAGCUAAAAAAGUCCAGUUGAAAGUCCUUCUAGGCGAUAAAGAUUAUAUAUUUCUGCCACUGCAGAUCUGAGACAUAAACAAGGUCUUCCUUAUUCAAAGAAAGCUUCCUCAGAUGUAGUUGAAACGGCCCAGUCAAAGUUCAGAAGUAUCUAGAGACCACUGGGAGGCUAUGCGGCCAUAUUUUUAUGAAGGCUACUUUAUUUGUCAUUGUUUACAGUCUCUUCAGAUGCUUAUAGUUUAGUUUGUCUCCUGAGUUUGUUGCAAAAAGUUGAUGCUCUCUUCUUUAUUGCAAAUCUAAUAAAAAAAAGAACAGUUGUUGACUUGUUUAAAUUCUGGAGAUAAAAAGUAAGACUCAGCUUCUGUUUUUAAUAAACUUUGGAACGUUCAUUUGCAGGUU